GUGGACGGAAGCCGCGCAAGCACAGAAAAGGGAACGCCCGGCGCAACCUCUACCCGUGGCUGCUGGGGCUCAAGAAGCGGGAGCGCUACGAGUGCAGCGCCACUCUUAUCAGCGACUCGUGGCUGCUGACGGCAGCGCACUGCGUCGCCCGUUCGCUGGAGAGCCGAAACGAGACAAUGGACCCUCGUGACCUGAAGGUUCAGCUCACUCGGGAUCCGCGUAACAACAAAUCCGUGAAGAAAAUAAUACUUAAUCCUGACUACGAGCCCGGCCUUAUUCCGCUCAACGACCUCGCUCUCGUGAUGCUGGAGAGACCGUUGAUCUUCAGCGAGAGCAUGUACCCCGCUUGCAUAAACUUCAAUGGGGAAGGCUCCCGCAACAACUCCAAAU